AUUGAACGCUGGCGGCAGGCCUAACACAUGCAAGUCGAGCGGAUGAAGGGAGCUUGCUCCUGGAUUCAGCGGCGGACGGGUGAGUAAUGCCUAGGAAUCUGCCUGGUAGUGGGGGAUAACGUCCGGAAACGGGCGCUAAUACCGCAUACGUCCUGAGGGAGAAAGUGGGGGAUCUUCGGACCUCACGCUAUCAGAUGAGCCUAGGUCGGAUUAGCUAGUUGGUGGGGUAAAGGCCUACCAAGGCGACGAUCCGUAACUGGUCUGAGAGGAUGAUCAGUCACACUGGAACUGAGACACGGUCCAGACUCCUACGGGAGGCAGCAGUGGGGAAAUUUGGACAAUGGGCGAAAGCCUGAUCCAGCCAUGCCGCGUGUGUGAAGAAGGUCUUCGGAUUGUAAAGCACUUUAAGUUGGGAGGAAGGGCAGUAAGUUAAUACCUUGCUGUUUUGACGUUACCAACAGAAUAAGCACCGGCUAACUUCGUG
rnacentral:rRNA from 1 species